rnacentral:rRNA from 1 species
UACGGAGGGUGCAAGCGUUACUCGGAAUCACUGGGCGUAAAGGACGCGUAGGCGGUCAGAUAAGUUGGAUGUGAAAUCCUAUGGCUUAACCAUAGAACUGCAUCCAAAACUGUUUGACUAGAAUGAGGGAGAGGUCAGUGGAAUUAGUGGUGUAGGGGUAAAAUCCGUAGAGAUCACUAGGAAUACUCAUUGCGAAGGCGACUGACUGGAACUUUAUUGACGCUGAGGCGUGAAAGCGUGGGGAGCAAACAGGAUUAGAUACCCUGGUAGUCCACGCCCUAAACGAUGUACACUAGUUGUUGGGAUGCAAGUCAUCUCAGUGAUGCAGCUAACGCAUUAAGUGUACCGCCUGGGGAGUACGGUCGCAAGAUUAAAACUCAAAGGAAUAGACGGGGACCCGCACAAGUGGUGGAGCAUGUGGUUUAAUUCGAAGAUACGCGAAGAACCUUACCUGGGCUUGACAUCCCGAGAAUCAUCCAGAGAUGGAUGAGUGCCAGUUUACUGGAGCUCGGUGACAGGUGCUGCACGGCUGUCGUCAGCUCGUGUCGUGAGAUGUUGGGUUAAGUCCCGCAACGAGCGCAACCCUCGUCCUUAGUUGCUAACAGUUUGGCUGAGCACUCUAAGGAGACUGCCUCCGCAAGGAGGAGGAAGGUGAGGACGACGUCAAGUCAUCAUGGCCCUUAUGCCCAGGGCGACACACGUGCUACAAUGGGGAGGACAAUGAGAAGCGAUACCGCGAGGUGGAGCAAAUCUAUAAACCUUCUCUCAGUUCGGAUUGCACUCUGCAACUCGAGUGCAUGAAGCUGGAAUCACUAGUAAUCGUAGGUCAGCCAUGCUACGGUGAAUACGUUCCCGGGU